UUUGAGCCGAGGGGCCAUGCGGAAACGCCAGGUUGGCGCUAACCAGAAACGGUAGCAAGGAGCCCGCAUCACAUGAAGGACUGACUGAAGUGUGGUGAAAUACUGAGCCCUCGCAAAGGGCAGUCAGGUAGUAGCAUG
rnacentral:ncRNA from 1 species